CGCCGAGGAUCCCGAGAAUCUUGCACCAAAACGCGCCCAACCUGGAGAGACGGGAGGAAAAAAUCCUUCCAGAAGAAUUUGCAGGCGUGGAUUGGGCAAAACCCCAGAUUCAACCAGAGACCAAGCCGCCCGCCCCUGACCUAGUGGGAUCCUCAGCCUUGGCUAAAGGUUUUUGUGGGCUUGGAGGCAGAUGCAGGCUGUGCCCUCCCUGCCUUCCCUGACCAGUGAUGGGACUCCCAGAGUCUGUGCUAAGACCAACUAGGGAUGGGGACGUGGGAAACCUCCCUCGCCUGUUAAAAUAAAACACCGACCCUUCCCUUCUCCUUCCCUUCCCCAGGGGAGGCAGCCUCCUGGCCUGGCUGCCAGGGAGGCAUCUGAGCACACAUAGGAUGCCAAGCCCUUCAGAAGCCGAUCCUGGUGCCAGCCAUGUGGGCAUGCACCUCCCCCAGAUCGGCUUGGCACCUCUGGCCCGGCUGCAAUGCUUUUUCCAUCCAGGCACCCAGCUGUGUGGCAGAGCCAUAAAGGAAACAGAACAAGAAGUUGCCCCUUAUCUGUAUAGUCAGAGACCAUAGAGUAUAUGUAGAUUUUAUCUGCAAUUGUAUAUUCUGCUCUAUCACCAUUUGCCUUAUGCACCUCACUGAAACUCAGAUGUGGGAUCAAAAGUUUAAAGUUUAAUCAUUUGCAUUUUUUCAUGAUUCUAAUAGAAUUUUUAACCCUGGCUUUAGGUGAUGUUUCUUCUUUGCUAAGAUCCAAGGGGAAGCGCUUGAGGUUGGAAGAAUCCUUUGGUCAAAGGGUUCCAUAUCCAAAAGAAUAACCAAGAAUCCAGACAGGAAAUGCCUUGAGGAGUCUUUGACCUUGAGCUGAUGGGACCAAGAGCC